rnacentral:rRNA from 1 species
GACGAACGCUGGCGGCGUGCUUAACACAUGCAAGUCGAGCGGUAAGGCCCCUUCGGGGGUACACGAGCGGCGAACGGGUGAGUAACACGUGAGCAAUCUGCCCAUCACAUCGGGAUAACUCCGGGAAACCGAAGCUAAUACCGAAUACGACCACCUCCGGCAUCGGAUGGUGGUGGAAAGUUCCGGCGGUGAUGGAUGAGCUCGCGGCCUAUCAGCUUGUUGGUGGGGUAACGGCCCACCAAGGCUUCGACGGGUAGCCGGCCUGAGAGGGUGACCGGCCACACUGGGACUGAGACACGGCCCAGACUCCUAAGGGAGGCAGAAGUGGGGAAUAUUGGACAAUGGGCGAAAGCCUGAUCCAGCAACGCCGCGUGAGGGAUGACGGCCUUCGGGUUGUAAACCUCUUUCAGCAGGGACGAAGCGCAAGUGACGGUACCUGCAGAAGAAGCACCGGCCAACUACGUG